GCGAACGCUGGCGGCAGGGCCUAACACAUGCAAGUCGAGCGCCGGGUAGCAAUACGGAGCGGCAGAACGGGAGAGUAAAAACACGGUGGGAAACGCUGCCCUUUCGGUUCGGGAACAACCCAGGGAAAACUUGGGCUAAUACCGGAUAACGCCCUUACGGGGAAAGAUUUAUUUCGCCGAAGGAAUCGGCCCCGCGUUCCUGAAUUAGCUAGUUGGUGAGGUAAUGGCCCACCAAAAGCGACGAUCAGGUAGCUGGUCUGAGAGGAUGAUCCAGCCUCACUGGGACUGAGACACGGCCCAGACUCCUACGGGGAGGCAGCAGUGGGGAAUAUUGGACAAUGGGCGCAAGCCUGAUCCAGCCAUGCCGCGUGGGUGAUGAAGGCCCCUAGGGUUUGCUAAAGCCCUUUCGGCGGGGAAGAUAAUGACGGUACCCGCAGAAGAAGCCCCGGCUAACUUCGUGCCAGCAGCCGCGGUAAUACGAAGGGGGGCUAGCGUUGCUCGGAAUUACUGGGCGUAAAAGCGCACGUAGGGCGGCUUUGCUAAGUCAGGGGGGUGAAAUCCUGGAGCUCAACUCCAGAAACUGCCCUUCGAUACUGGCGAGGUCUCGAGUCCGGGAGAGGUGAGUGGAAACUGCGAGUGUAGAGGUGGAAAUUCGUAGAUAUUCGCAAGAAACACCAGUGGGCGAAGGCGGCUUCACUGGCCCGGUAACUGGACGCUGAGGUGCGAAAGCGUGGGGGAGGCAAACAGGAUUAGAUACCCUGGUAGUCCACGCCUGUAAAACGAUGGAUGCUAGCCGUUGGUCGAGCUUUUUACUCAUCAGUGGCGCAGCUAACGCAUAUUUAAGCAUCCCGCCUGGGGAGUACGGUCGCAAGAAUUUAAAACUCAAAAGGAAUUGGACGGGGGGCCCGCACAAGCGGUGGAGCAUGUGGUUUCAAUUCGAAGCAACGCGCAGAAACCUUACCAGCCUUUGACAUUCCCGGUCGCUGGGAUCCAGAGACUGGAGUCCCUUCAGCUUCGGGCUGGGACCGGAGACAAGGUGCUGCAUGGCUGUCGUCAGCUCGUGUCGUGAGAUGUUGGGGUUAAGUCCCGCAACGAGCGCAAACCCUCGCCCUUAGUUGCCAUCAUUUAGUUGGGCACUCUAAGGGGGACUGCCGGUGAUAAGCCGGAGGAAGGUGGGGAUGACGGUCAAGUCCUCAUUGGCCCUUACAGGGCUGGGCUACACAACGUGCUACAAAUGGCGGUGACAGAGGGAUGCAAAGGGAGCAAUCCCUUCAGCAAAUCUCAAAAAAGCCGUCUCAGUUUCGGAUUGUGGUCUGCAACUCGAGCCCAGUGAAUGUUGGAAAUCGCUAGUAAUCGCAGAUCAGCACGCUGCGGUGAAUACGUUCCCCGGGCCUUGUACACACCGCCCGUCACACCAUGGGAGUUGGCUUUACCUGAAGACGGUGCGCUAACCGCAAGGAGGCAGCCGGCCACGGUUAGGGUCAGCGACUGGGGUG
rnacentral:rRNA from 1 species